UCCCAGUUCGGAUUGCAGGCUGCAACCCGCCUGCAUGAAGUUGGAAUCGCUAGUAAUCACAGGUCAGCAUACUGUGGUGAAUACGUUCCCGGGCCUUGUACACACCGCCCGUCACACCAUGAGAGUUGAGAAUACCCGAAGCCCAUGUCAAAGUGGUCGAAGGUAGGCUUGAUGAUUGGGGUGAAGUCGUAACAAGGUAGC
rnacentral:rRNA from 1 species